ACAUCCUAGGACGGUUUCUGGAGACAGACUCCUUCCCUUCGGGGACCUAGUGACAGGUGCUGCAUGGCUGUCGUCAGCUCGUGUCGUGAGAUGUUGGGUUAAGUCCCGCAACGAGCGCAACCCUCGUCCUUAGUUGCCAUCAUUUAGUUGGGCACUUUAAGGAAACUGCCGGUGAUAAGCCGGAGGAAGGUGGGGAUGACGUCAAGUCCUCAUGGCCCUUACAGGCUGGGCUACACACGUGCUACAAUGGCAUCUACAGUGGGCAGCUAUCCCGCAAGGGUGAGCUAAUCUCCAAAAGAUGUCUCAGUUCGGAUUGUCCUCUGCAACUCGAGGGCAUGAAGGCGGAAUCGCUAGUAAUCGCGGAUCAGCAUGCCGCGGUGAAUACGUUCCCAGGCCUUGUACACACCGCCCGUCACACCAUGGGAGUUGGAUUCACCCGAAGGCAGUGCGCUAACCGCAAGGAGGCA
rnacentral:rRNA from 1 species